AUUGAACGCUGGCGGAAUGCUUUACACAUGCAAGUCGAGCGGCAGCGCGGGGCAACCUGGCGGCGAGCGGCGAACGGGUGAGUAACACAUCGGAACGUGCCCAGACGUGGGGGAUAGCCCGGCGAAAGCCGGAUUAAUACCGCAUACGAUCUGAGGAUGAAAGCGGGGGAUCGCAAGACCUCGCGCGUUUGGAGCGGCCGAUGGCAGAUUAGGUAGUUGGUGGGGUAAAGGCUUACCAAGCCUGCGAUCUGUAGCUGGUCUGAGAGGAUGAUCAGCCACACUGGGACUGAGACACGGCCCAGACUCCUACGGGAGGCAGCAGUGGGGAAUAUUGGUCAAUGGGCGCAAGCCUGAACCAGCCAUCCCGCGUGAAGGAAGAAUGCGCUACGCGUUGUAAACUUCUUUUCCAGGGGGAGAAUAAUCCUGUCGUGACAGGACUUGACGGUACUCUGGGAAUAAGCAUCGGCUAACUCCGUGCCAGCACG
rnacentral:rRNA from 1 species